rnacentral:rRNA from 1 species
AUUGAACGCUGGCGGCAUGCCUUACACAUGCAAGUCGAACGGUAACGCGGGGCAACCUGGCGACGAGUGGCGAACGGCUGAGUAAUGCAUCGGAACGUGCCCAGUAGUGGGGGAUAGCCCGGCGAAAGCCGGAUUAAUACCGCAUACGACCUGCGGGUGAAAGGGGGGGGUCGCAAGACCUCUCGCUAUUGGAGCGGCCGAUGUCAGAUUAGCGAGUUGGUGGGGUCAAGGCCUACCACGGCGACGCUCGGUAGCUGGUCUGAGAGGACGACCAGCCACACUGGGACUGAGACACGGCCCAGACUCCUACGGGAGGCAGCAGUGGGGAAUUUUGGACAAUGGGCGAAAGCCUGAUCCAGCCAUGCCGCGUGCGGGAAGAAGGCCUUCGGGUUGUAAACCGCUUUUUUCAGGGAAGAAAUCUUCUGGGUUAAUACCUCGGGAGGAUGACGGUACCUGAAGAAUAAGCACCGGCUAACUACGUGCCAGCCGCCGCCGUAAAAC